rnacentral:rRNA from 1 species
AUUGAACGCUGGCGGCAUGCCUUACACAUGCAAGUCGAACGGCAGCACGGGUGCUUGCACCUGGUGGCGAGUGGCGAACGGGUGAGUAAUACAUCGGAACAUGUCCUGUAGUGGGGGAUAGCCCGGCGAAAGCCGGAUUAAUACCGCAUACGAUCUACGGAUGAAAGCGGGGGACCUUCGGGCCUCGCGCUAUACGGUUGGCCGAUGGCUGAUUAGCUAGUUGGUGGGGUAAAGGCCUACCAAGGCGACGAUCAGUAGCUGGUCUGAGAGGUCGACCAGCCACACUGGGACUGAGACACGGCCCAGACUCCUACGGGAGGCAGCAGUGGGGAAUUUUGGACAAUGGGCGAAAGCCUGAUCCAGCAAUGCCGCGUGUGUGAAGAAGGCCUUCGGGUUGUAAAGCACUUUUGUCCGGAAAGAAAUCCUUGGCCCUAAUACGGUCGGGGGAUGACGGUACCGGAAGAAUAAGCACCGGCUAACUACGUG